GUGGGGAAUAUUGGACAAUGGGCGAAAGCCUGAUCCAGCCAUGCCGCGUGUGUGAAGAAGGUCUUCGGAUUGUAAAGCACUUUAAGUUGGGAGGAAGGGUAGUAACCUAAUACGUUGCUACUUUGACGUUACCGACAGAAUAAGCACCGGCUAACUUCGUGCCAGCAGCCGCGGUAAUACGAAGGGUGCAAGCGUUAAUCGGAAUUACUGGGCGUAAAGCGCGCGUAGGUGGUUCAGUAAGUUGGAAGUGAAAUCCCCGGGCUCAACCUGGGAACUGCUUACAAAACUGGUGAGCUAGAGUACAGUAGAGGGUGGUGGAAUUUCCUGUGUAGCGGUGAAAUGCGUAGAUAUAGGAAGGAACACCAGUGGCGAAGGCGACCACCUGGACUGAUACUGACACUGAGGUGCGAAAGCGUGGGGAGCAAACAGGAUUAGAUACCCCAGUAGUCC
rnacentral:rRNA from 1 species